rnacentral:rRNA from 1 species
GAUGAACGCUGGCGGCGUGCCUAAUACAUGCAAGUCGAACGCGAGAGGAGGGAGCUUGCUCCCUCUGAUCGAGUGGCGGACGGGUGAGUAACACGUAGGCAACCUGCCCCUCAGUCCGGGAUAACCGCGGGAAACCGUGGCUAAUACCGGAUGAUCCUCUCCACCGCGGGGUGGGGAGGUGAAAGACGGCUUCGGCUGUUGCUGAUGGAUGGGCCUGCGGCGCAUUAGCUGGUUGGCGGGGUAACGGCCCAACAAGGCAACGAUGCGUAGCCGACAUGAGAGGGUGAUCGGCCACACUGGGACUGAGACACGGCCCAGACUCCUACGGGAGGCAGCAGUAGGGAAUCUUCCGUAAUGGAAGCAAGUCUGACGGAGCAACGCCGCGUGAGUGAAGAAGGGUUUCGGCUCGUAAAGCUCUGUUGUUAAGGAAGAACGACAGGUAGAGUAACUGCUACCUUUGUGACGGUACUUAACCAGAAAGCCACGGCUAACUACGUGCCAGCAGCCGCGGUAA